ACGGGAGGCAGCGGUGGGGAAUAUUGCACAAUGGGCGCAAGCCUGAUGCAGCAACGCCGCGUGAGGGAAGACGGUUUUCGGAUUGUAAACCUUUGUCUUUGGUGAAGAAGAAAGUGACGGUAACCAAGGAGGAAGCCACGGCUAACUACGUGCCAGCAGCCGCGGUAAUACGUAGGUGGCAAGCGUUGUCCGGAAUUACUGGGUGUAAAGGGAGCGCAGGCGGGACUGCAAGUUGGAUGUGAAAUACCGAGGCUCAACCUCGGAACUGCAUCCAAAACUGUAGUUCUUGAGUGAAGUAGAGGUAGGCGGAAUUCCGAGUGUAGCGGUGAAAUGCGUAGAUAUUAGGAGGAACACCAGUGGCGAAGGCGGCUUACUGGACGAUCACUGACGCUGAGGCUCGAAAGCGUGGGGAGCAAACAGGAUUAGAUACCCUGGUA
rnacentral:rRNA from 1 species